UUAAUUGAAACCAAAAAGAGGUAAAUUAUUGUUAAUAAUUUUAUUGAAUUAAUUUCCAAUUAAA
rnacentral:tRNA from 1 species